AAGACCUUGCGCUUUUGGAGCGGCCGAUGCCUGAUUAGCUUGUUGGUGAGGUAAAAGCUCACCAAGGCUUCGAUCAGUAGCUGGUCUGAGAGGACGACCAGCCACACUGGGACUGAGACACGGCCCAGACUCCUACGGGAGGCAGCAGUGGGGAAUUUUGGACAAUGGGGGCAACCCUGAUCCAGCCAUGCCGCGUGAGUGAAGAAGGCCUUCGGGUUGUAAAGCUCUUUCAGUUGGGAAGAAAAGGUUACGGUUAAUACCUGUAACUCAUGACGGUACCGACAGAAGAAGCACCGGCUAACUACGUGCCAGCAGCCGCGGUAAUACGUAGGGUGCGAGCGUUAMUCGGAAUUACUGGGCGUAAAGGGUGCGCAGGCGGUCUUGUAAGUCAGAUGUGAAAUCCCCGGGCUUAACCUGGGAACU
rnacentral:rRNA from 1 species